rnacentral:rRNA from 1 species
UACGUAGGGGGAAAGCGUGGUCCGGAUUUAUUGGGCGUAAAGGGCGUGUAGGCGGUCAGGUAGGUCGGUUGGGAAAACUCGAGGCUCAACCUCGAGACGCCGAUGGAAACCAUCUGACUAGAGUCCGGAAGAGGAGAGUGGAAUUCCUGGUGUAGCGGUGAAAUGCGCAGAUAUCAGGAAGAACACCCGUGGCUAAGGCGGCUCUCUAGUACGGUACUGACGCUGAGACGCGAAAGCGUGGGGAGCGAACAGG